rnacentral:rRNA from 1 species
UACGAAGGGGGCUAGCGUUGCUCGGAAUGACUGGGCGUAAAGGGCUUGUAGGUGGCCAACUAAGUCAGACGUGAAAUCCCUCGGCUUAACCGGGGAACUGCGUCUGAUACUGGAUGGCUCGAGUUUGGGAGAGGGAUGCGGAAUUCCAGGUGUAGCGGUGAAAUGCGUAGAUAUCUGGAGGAACACCGGUGGCGAAGGCGGCAUCCUGGACCAACACUGACACUGAAAAGCGAAAGCCAGGGGAGCAAACGGG